AUGCAUCUAGAUUGCGGAUCCGCGGCCGCAGAGUUUGAUCAUGGCUCAGGAUGAACGUUGGCUGUGUGCCUUAGGUAUGCAAGUCGAACGGUGCUCUAAUCUUUAACCGCUUGCGGUUAUUGGUUGGAUGUCACAGUGGCAAACGGGUGAGUAACGCGUAGGUAACCUGCCUUAAAGUCGGGAAUAGCUCAUCGAAAGAUGGGGUAAUACUUGAUGGUCUCCAAUCACUUCGGUGCUUUGGAGUAAAGUUUCGGCGCUUUAAGAGGGGCCUGCGUCCUAUCAGCUAGUUGGUGAGGUAAAAGCCCACCAAGGCUAAGACGGGUAACUGGUGUGAGAGCACGGUCAGUCACCAUGGAACUGAGACACGGUCCAUACUCCUACGGGAGGCAGCAAUUAGGAAUUUUGCGCAAUGGGGGCAACCCUGACGCAGCGACACAGCGUGGAGGAGGAAGGUCUUAGGAUUGUAAACUCCUUUUAUGAGGGACGAAUAGAUGACGGUACCUCUUGAAUAAGUACCUGCUAACUACGUGCCAGAAGCAUCGGUGAUGCGUAGGGUACGAACGUUAUCCGGAGUCAUUGGGCGUAAAGAGAUGCGUAGGCGGCUUAACAUGUCUAGGGUUAAAGUC
rnacentral:rRNA from 1 species